UUGUGGAGUAACAUGUGCCAAUGGAACGAAUUGGUUUGUUUUGUCUCUCUUAUUGAUUUCUAUCUCCUGUUUCCAUGAUUUUGGGGUACAUGUGCAUGCUUGACUGAGUGCCCUAUCGUCUCUCUUCUCCCAGAAAACAAAUCUAUGUCUCUCUUAAGGAGGAAGCGAGUUGGGGCAUGGAUCCGAUGCACAUAAGGGGCCUAUCAGAUUAUAAUUAUUUUCCUCAUGGUGUUCAGAAUCAACAAUGGCGCUGACAUGGAAUCCAAUUCCCCAAUCGCUCCACUCCCUGGCGGCUACAGCAAUGGCAAACUAUUGUGGACUGCUUCCGGCCUAUGAGGUAGAAGAAGAGAUCAUGGCACCCAAAGCUCGAGGAAGAAGGAGGGCAGUGCGGCUCCUCCCAGACAUCUGCUCUCAUGUCUCUACAAAAACACACUCAUGCAAAGUCCAUAUCGUGUUCUUCUUCGGAUCGGCUAUUCUAUUGUUCAAUCGAUCCACAACUGAUCUAGCCUCCGCCAGGACAGCCACGGGCGGCUUUACUUGAAGUCCUGCCACAUGCCAUUGCGAAGAAUUUUAUGGGAGUCUAUUCUGACCUUCUUGAGCCUUUCCUGGUGUGGACCCCACCUGCCGCAUGCCGUUGCUAACAUGUCUAAUUUUGUAGGACAAACAGACGAAGGCAAGCACGUAGGGUUGCUAGCACUGAUGCCCACUUUGCCGGAGAAACAGUAGGAACACAAGCAUGUUAUUUUUCUGAUGAUAAAAUCUUCCAAGUCCGCUGAUGUUGUUCGCAUCUAUAUCAAGUAACUGCUCCUCCUCAGUUUAGAUGUGCAAAGUUGUCUCCUGCUGUGUAAACUCUUGCCCUACCUAUGUUGGCAGCAAGCUAGCAAAUCAUGUCCAGGCCGAUCUUUUCCUCCUGGUCCUGGGAUCAUCAACGAAACUUAAUCUUGGGAUGAUAAACUCCAUGACUAGAACGCGUUUUGAACAUCCAUUUUACUACCAGUCCAACAUGACAUGCUGCCUCCCAAUAUGAUUCUUUUGGUAGCAGUGGCCGCCUUAAUUUUUUUCCUGUAUCCAGAUCUUUGAUUACGUAAUAAGCAUAGCCUCUACAUGAUGCCACUGUGGUGUCUUAAUUGGUUGUCUUAUGGAUAGCACCAUUGCAGGAUUGGUGAUCCACGUUUGCAGAUUUAUAAGUUUCCUGUAUAAUAUUUUCAGGCUAUAUAUUUUUUAUUUGUUCACUAGAUGCCUGAUGAAAUUCCUAUCGGAGCCAACAAUUUAUUUUACUACCAGAUAUAUCUAUCAAACUCUGAGGACAAGAUCAUCAAGUCUCAGAGUUAGCAAUAUGGCAUUACAGGGGUUAUUGUUGACAUUAAGUAAUUGUUGUUCAUAUAUAGAGGUUAGUGUCGAACCACUAACAGCGAGUGAAUGAUUGGAGGUGAUGCCAUAUCGUUAUGUAAGCGUUUCUCUCCACAAGAUGGCGAUAUAAAUGUCCGAACCAAUAUGGGUGAUGGCGUACACAAAGUAGUCUGAGUACACUAUGUUCUGAUCAAAGAUGAAUACACAACAGGGUGAGGAUCGAUGCUUGAUGAGGUAUGUGUUCGUAUUUAAUGCUAGAUGGGAAGGGUAAUUUUUAUUUUUGUAAUUAUGAUUUUCUCUGUAUAGAUGAACAAUAGAGUGAAUAAUUUCUCUGAUUUGGGGUGGCCUUUGAAAAAUGCUUUCCUACAAUUAUGAGUAGUUGUACAAGGACAUUGCUCAUCCACUAAUCAUUAUUCAUUAUAAUUUGUCUUUUAGACUGUCGCAAAAAAUAGUGAUGGGAUUGACCAAAACCUGUUACUGUUCCCCCUUUUAUAACCAAGCGACCAAAGUUAAUUAAACAUUGAAGAAAGUUUUUACAACUGUACACACGUAAGUACAUGUAAUUAGCAGUUUCAUGAUAAACAAUGUAAGCAUAUGGAGAUGCGUUAGCCUUCAUCAGGGUUGUGCUGUGUUGCAUAUAUGUACUGGCUAUGCUCCAAAUUUAAGUAUGACACAUAUUCUAAUAUGUUGUUCAAGUGCAUCUAAUACAAAAGAGUUAUAUGUAAGGAUCUGUGAUGUGAUGUUCAACAAAAUCUCUCUGGAAAUUGUAGCAUUCUUCAAGUUUAAAAUGUGUUAAGGUUGUUUGUUAAAUUCCAACUUAUUUGUUGUAUUGUCCCUUAGUUUCUUACCUCACUUGAAUAAGGUGUGUUCUUUCUUUAGAUUUUUUUCCUUACCCAAUUAGUUUCAAGGAUAUAUGAAGUGUCAUGCAUAUGAACUAUGUGUGAGUAUUUCUCUUAUAGUUUUUUCUAGAUUGAUCUUAUUUAAGGGAAACAAUCGUUUAUCAUUAAGAAAAACAUAGCACUUUCUAAGAUCGCCAAUGGAGUACGGCUAAGCAAUUAGGCAAUAGCUUGACGACUUCGAAUACUACUGAAUUUAUAUGAAACUUAUUUCAUCAUAUUUACAAAUAACUUAUAUCAAGUUAUCUCGGCACAAAUUAUUUUUUCGUGUCAUCUCAUUAAUUAACGUGGUUACAUCCAACUAAGUCAUUUCUAUUAUAUAACUUCGCAUCAAUCCUCAAGUUCGAUAUCCUUGCAAAACACAUCAUCAAUGUUAAUGAUAUAGAUUUCAACGCAAUAUUAUUUAAUUAGCCCAUGCGCACGCACGGGUUGACGACUAGUGUCAUAUAGUCGAUCUAGUAGUUUGAGAAGGCGGGCAUCACCUACAACACUUUGAAAAACUUGUUCCACUUGGGAGCAAUUAUGUUCACCAAAACUAAAUACACCAUGAAUUUUUCACAGCCACUAAUUGUGUGAGAGUUUGACCCAUAUCCAAAUAUAUGCCCUCAAUAGGCUUAGCUCAAAUUUAGCUAUUAGUGAUUUAUUGUCGAGAAUGAAAGACCCACAACUAAAUACAUUAAAGUAUUUGAUGUUUAGCUUGUUGUAGGUUAGUAGCUCAUAUGGUGUCUUGUUAAUAGCUUGCCAGGUAGAGACGAUAGGAUACAUGAAACAUGGUGAUGAUGGCUUAGUCCCAACACUAGUGCAAAAAAUCCAAGCUAUGGCGUGGCAAAAUUGCCUUGCUGGCGUGGACACCCGACGCCACCAAUAUGGUGCCAUUGCUAAAAAAUAGUGGUGGCAUCGGA